rnacentral:tRNA from 1 species
GCCGGGGUGCCUGAGCGGUUUAAAGGGCCCGCCUCGAGAGCGGGUGUUGCUCUUGCAACGCGCAGGUUCGAAUCCUGCCCCCGGCG